GACGAACGCUGGCGGCGUGCCUAAUACAUGCAAGUCGAACGCUGAAGGAGGAGCUUGCUCUUCUGGAUGAGUUGCGAACGGGUGAGUAACGCGUAGGUAACCUGCCUGGUAGCGGGGGAUAACUAUUGGAAACGAUAGCUAAUACCGCAUAACAGUAGAUGUUGCAUGACAUUUGCUUAAAAGGUGCAAUUGCACCACUACCAGAUGGACCUGCGUUGUAUUAGCUAGUUGGUGGGGUAACGGCUCACCAAGGCGACGAUACAUAGCCGACCUGAGAGGGUGAUCGGCCACACUGGGACUGAGACACGGCCCAGACUCCUACGGGAGGCAGCAGUAGGGAAUCUUCGGCAAUGGACGGAAGUCUGACCGAGCAACGCCGCGUGAGUGAAGAAGGGUGUCGGAUCGUAAAGCUCUGUUGUAAGAGAAGAACGAGUGUGAGAGUGGAAAGUUCACACUGUGACGGUAUCUUACCAGAAAGGGACGGCUAACUACGUG
rnacentral:rRNA from 1 species